UUUGUUUAACAAGAGCCUCAGGUGAUUAUUAUCUUUGAGAAAAUUUGGGGAAAGAGUUAAUGUGAAAAUGCCUUACAAUACAUGAGGACAUAAGGACAUAAUUGGGGAAAAAAAAACAAAGCUGAAUAAAUGAACUAAGGACCAGGCAAUAUUCAGCAAAUCACAAGUUACUUGGCUCAAUCUUUCUCUUAGGUAUUCAGGAGAAUAGUAUUAAUACCUAUUACCACCCAGACCUUGGGGGAGGAUUAGAGUCCAUUACUGGAAAUUGCUCUGAGCUCCCUGGGAAGGUGAAAUAAUCUAGUCCCCAGGAAGAGGAUCAUUUUUUAUGGCCCGGAACGCCCCACUGACAGUUCUCCCUGAGGAGUCAUGAAGAGGGAUAAGGCUCAAAGAUAGGCAUUCCAGGGCCUUUGCCCUUCGUCAUCAGCAGCAUGUGAUGGAG